GGUUCAGUGGUAGAAUUCUCACCUUCCAUGCGGGAGAUCCAGGUUCAAUUCCUGG
rnacentral:tRNA from 1 species